rnacentral:rRNA from 1 species
GAUGAACGCUGGCGGCGUGCCUAAUACAUGCAAGUCGAGCGAACAGACGAGGAGCUUGCUCCUCUGACGUUAGCGGCGGACGGGUGAGUAACACGUGGAUAACCUACCUAUAAGACUGGGAUAACUUCGGGAAACCGGAGCUAAUACCGGAUAAUAUAUUGAACCGCAUGGUUCAAUAGUGAAAGACGGUUUUGCUGUCACUUAUAGAUGGAUCCGCGCCGCAUUAGCUAGUUGGUAAGGUAACGGCGUACCAAGGCGACGAUGCGUAGCCGACCUGGGAGGGUGAUCGGCCACACUGGAACUGAGACACGGUCCAGACUCCUACGGGAGGCAGCAGUAGGGAAUCUUCCGCAAUGGGCGAAAGCCUGACGGAGCAACGCCGCGUGAGUGAUGAAGGUCUUCGGAUCGUAAAACUCUGUUAUUAGGGAAGAACAAAUGUGUAAGUAACUAUGCACGUCUUGACGGUACCUAAUCAGAAAGCCACGGCUAACUACGUG